AUUGAACCUCAGCCACAUAUUUCUUACUUGCCGCUCUAACGCUCCAUCAUACCGACAACAGCGGACUAUGCCUAAUCAUAAAUGAUUAUAUGGCAGAGAGAUAUAAUCAUAUAUGAUUAUGCAUGUUUAUACAUAUAUGUUUAUUCAUAAACUAGAAGCGAUCCCCCCGCGUUGCAGGGGUUGGAAGGUAUCGCUUUUGUGUGAAAGCAUAAUACAUUGCCUUAAUUGGUAGCCACAGUAAAGUAUGUUGCUAUUCUCUGCAAUUCAUCCAUUUAUAAAUGCAUAAUAGUCAAAGUACAAUGGCAAGGANUAUAUAUCGACACCGUUUUUGGUUACACAUAGAUACGCUUUUCUCAAAAGGAGCGGAUUGAAAUUCUUGAUCAAUGCUUCUAGCACUUUUGAGAAACCUAUAAAUUAGAGGAAAAGUGUUGUUGUUGAUAAUAAGAAUAAUAAUAAUUAUAAGAAUAUAUACUUUAAGUACAUUGCUAUUUCUUACAAAAUGCAAAACAAAAAUCAUAUAAAAAUUGAAUUUUUGCUUACAUAAGGUCAGCAUUACAUAGUCCCUUUUCUAUAGAACAUUGUACAUGACCUACUUUCCAUGAGUAAAUCCUUUAGUAGCAGCCUAGUUUUCCGGUUGUUAUAACAUCCUACCUUUUUAAGAAACAAAAUGAUUAAUGAAUGAUAGCCACCAACAUCCAUCACAACUUACAAUUACAUGGCCAUUGAAAGCAAAACAAAUAAAAACCACCUAUAAAUAAUAAAAUCCUUAUUUUCCUUUUUAGUAAAUACAUCUACACGUAUAUUAAUCCUACCGUACCAGGGCAGCAUGCAAUAACUAAAAUUGUAGUUUCAUUUUUUUUAUCAUACCAUUUUACUUUUAGUUAAUAACUUCCAAGUUUUUUCUUAUUAACCUAUACAAAAUCUAGCCUUUUCAACUGCCUCAUAUAAUGACAAACAAAUAUAAUAACAUUAGAAUGGAAGAGAAGUUGGUUUUUAAGCGACCUUAAAAAAAAUAGGGUUAUGGAUUCUAUGAUUAAUCAUGUUGAGUACACAUAUAAAUCCUGCUAACCUCAAUCAUAUAUUAUAAUUUUACAUAGAACACCCCUGAUCAUAUUUUGCAACUUUAAAAACUUUUAUCAAUAAAAAAGAAAAGUUGUUUAAUACCUUCUUACAUAAAUCCUUAACUGUUACUCUUUUAGUGAAAAAAAAAAGAAAAAUAAAAUAACAUUACAUGAAAAAUUAAGAGGAAUCAUCCCUGUUACUCUUUUAUUUUUUUUUAAAUCAAAUUUUAGUAAAAGACUAAACAUACAUGAAAACAACAUACACAAAUAUAUCAGCAUUACUGUAUGAGUUAAUGUCUCAACAAAAAAAAUCGUCCAUGUUACUCAUUUACUGGAAAAAAAAAGUUUGAAAAAAAAUUUAUUAUUUUUGUUAUUUUGGACCAAAAUACCCUUGUGUUUCAAACAUUCCAGAACUGCUUCAAUCUUAUUCAAAUUUUAUUAAAAGCAUUUCCGUAGUUAUACAAAAGGAUUCCAGUGUCUACAAUGAGUGAAAAAAUGUUACAAAACUGUCAAAUGGUUGUUUAUGGUAAUCUUGAUGGGGAUGAUAGUCAUGGGCAUUCACAUGGUUGUAUGUGGUAAUAGGUUGCUGAAUUUGAAAAAUCCCAUGAAUUUUGUUCUUACAAUAAAUUAGAAAACUAAAUUUUUUUUAUCUAUUUUUACUUAAUGAUUAAUUUAGAAAUAGACGGUUGUACAUAAUUAUCUUAUUUAGCAUGUAGUUUUAGUCAAGCAUGGACUCUUAUUUUCAUGUGUUUUUACGACCUUUUUGGAAGAUUUAUGCUUCUAGAUACCAAUUUCGUUUUUAAUGGGAGCAAGGACCUCAUUCUUUUGAAAGAUUUAGGCACCUCGAUGUCUGCUUCUUCUUUUCUUAGCUGGAAAUAAAAACAUUAAAAAAUGCAUGACAUAGAGGUUAGGCAAGAUAAAAUCAUAAUAUAUGCACGUCAGGUGAAAUACAAUCACCGAAACAACUUUUCAUAUAAUCCAAUCUAAAAGCAAAAAAUCCAUGCUAUUCACCAGUGUAUUUCCUCAUACAUAAUUUCUUAUCAAUCUUCUAAGUUGAUACUUCUAUUAACAAAAAAGGAUUAAGAAGAAACCCAACUGUCUUCUAAUCUGAAGAAGCCGACUAUGUCAUCAACACCAAACUACAAAAAGAUUACCCAAGCUUAUUGAAAACUAUAAAAAGAUUAAAAAGAAGGUGUUUAGUUGUAAGUAUGGAUAGCUAAAUCAUUAUUGAUCAGUUUCUUAGUUUCUUACCAACAACUUGUUUGAUUACACCUACAUGUAAAUGGAAGUCACUUCCUUUUUUAUAAUAAAAGAGGAAAAAAAGUGCUACUGACCUUUGGGGGAGUGAUGGGGUAGAAAACGAAAAGCCAAUUGACUGCUUUGAUAAUUGUAAAUAACAAUUAUGUGGAUGCCUUCUCUCUCAAGCAUUUUAUCAAACAUGUAAUAUGCAUCAUAAAGUCAUUGUAAAAGAUGACACUUCUGUAUAUGAUUUCUUCACCCAAACAACUUUUCAUAUAAUCUAAUCUGAAAGCAAAAAGACAGAAAAUGAAUGUGAUCCAUUAAAAAACACCCUUUAAAACCCCAAAUGAAAACAAUAUAAGACACAUGGGGAAGAGAAAAUGAUUGACCUGGACCUUGACAGUUUAGCGCAACAGAGUGUGACAACGGGAAUCAAACGUGCAAAACACAAUCUGUUCCUAACUGAAAUUCGAUGAAGGUGAAAGGUGAACUCCAUCUCUGUUAAUUGAUUCUUUAUCUCGGACUGAAAUCCUAACCAAGAUACGAAGACGAAGAUGAAGACAAUCGCGUGUCGUUAUCGAUCUAUAAUGGUGGUGGUGUUUGGAAGAACUCGUUGUGACUUAUCGCAGUCCCGACCAUCUGCUAAAUUUGCGAAUUGAAUCGGUGGUCACCGAUCAUAUCCAAAAGAUAGAAAGGUCAUAGCGAUUUGGAAAUCAAACAAAAUUGGAUUUAAAUGAUGAAGGUAUCUAGGUAAGGCGGUUGAUCGGUGGAGGGUCAAACUAACUCUUGUGGAGAGAACUAAUCUGAUUGAUAGUAUAUUCUAGUAUGAGAGAACGGGAAGAACCCGAUGAUAGAUAAGAUGAAGGCGGUGGGUUUUCUGAAUGGUUGAUAUUUGGAGAAAAAUAAUUGGUUGCAGUUGCGGUGAUAAAGUAACGUAACA
rnacentral:lncRNA from 1 species